rnacentral:rRNA from 1 species
CUUAAGUGGCGAACGGGUGAGUAACGCGUGAGUAACCUGCCCUGGAGUGGGGGGACAACAGUUGGAAACGACUGCUAAUACCGCAUAAGCCCACGGAUCCGCAUGGAUCUGCGGGAAAAGGAUUUAUUCGCUUCAGGAUGGACUCGCGUCCAAUUAGCUAGUUGGUGAGGUAACGGCCCACCAAGGCGACGAUUGGUAGCCGGACUGAGAGGUUGAACGGCCACAUUGGGACUGAGACACGGCCCAGACUCCUACGGGAGGCAGCAUG